rnacentral:rRNA from 1 species
GCUAACGCGUGAAGUUGACCGCCUGGGGAGUACGGUCGCAAGAUUAAAACUCAAAGGAAUUGACGGGGACCCGCACAAGCGGUGGAUGAUGUGGAUUAAUUCGAUGCAACGCGAAAAACCUUACCUACCCUUGACAUGUCUAGAAUCCCUAAGAGAUUGGGGAGUGCUCGCAAGAGAACUGGAACACAGGUGCUGCAUGGCUGUCGUCAGCUCGUGUCGUGAGAUGUUGGGUUAAGUCCCGCAACGAGCGCAACCCUUGUCAUUAGUUGCUACGAAAGGGCACUCUAAUGAGACUGCCGGUGACAAACCGGAGGAAGGUGGGGAUGACGUCAAGUCCUCAUGGCCCUUAUGGGUAGGGCUUCACACGUCAUACAAUGGUCGGGACAGAGGGUCGCCAACCCGCGAGGGGGAGCCAAUCCCAGAAACCCGAUCGUAGUCCGGAUCGUAGUCUGCAACUCGACUACGUGAAGUCGGAAUCGCUAGUAAUCGCGGAUCAGAAUGUCGCGGUGAAUACGUUCCCGGGUCUUGUACACACCGCCCGUCACACCAUGGGAGUGGGUUUCACCAGAAGUAGUUAGCCUAACCGCAAGGGGGGCGAUUACCACGGUGGGGUUCAUGACUGGGGUGAAGUCGUAACAAGGUAGCCGUAUCGGAAGGUGC